GUUGCCCUUCAACUGUGUGGGGAGUGGAGCGAGAUCAAUGUUAUGGUAAGAAAUCUAAAGCCAUCCUACAUCCAAUUUCUUCAAAUUGUGUCGAAAUUGUGUAGUUUAUAUUAGAUGGAUACUAUUUGGUUUGAUUUCUGUUCACAUUUCCGUAGUUUGUUAUUGCUGUAGCCUAAACGGUUAAAUCCUGCAUGGCAGGUGUUCCAGUGCAUGUGUGCUUCAGGCUAGCGGUUCUUUGGCAACUUGGCUUGUUUGUUACUUCUCUACAGGUCGACAGUAAACUAAACCAACCUUGAAAUUGGUUAUUAUGCUGUUUGAAACGACACAAAGCCACAAGUGAUUGUCAUACAAAACUAUUGUGGUAUUUUUGUCAUUCUCCUCAACGGGACAUCCAUGUGGCGACAUGGCUGGUAUUAUCUCCGUGUUCAAUCUGGUCAAGCAGAUGAGGGGCCUUCAUUUACUGCCGACAUAGAUGAGGUUCUGAUCAAGAAGGUGAUGCAACGCCCAUGCUCAACCUGGAGGAAGGAGGUUCUCCGGGAGCCAGCAAUUCCAGACUUCCAGAACAGAUGGCACUUUUUGAUGCCAGCGAGAUCAAUUUGGAAUUCAUGUAAAUUGCCACUGUACCUCUGACCUCAAUUCUUUGGUGAACUGGACUAUCGGGCAAGUGGCCUUAUCCGGAUCUUCUGUACCGAAGGUGGAGCUGUAGGACGGAAGAUCUCUGCCAUAAUGACCCACAUGGGACAUGAUGCCGGCGAACUGUCUGUGUAUGAACUUCAGCGACUUGAACAUCUUUGAAGAUUUCACAAGCAUGUGGACAUGCAGCAGAGGAUCUCCGGACUCGGGAUGCAAGUGAGGCCAAAGCAAGAUAAUGAAGACCUUGAAUGCAGACAGGCCUAGGCAGACACUGCUGAGAAGACCAUGGGCAUCUACACAGUCCGGACAGAGGGUGAUGGUCUAGGUGAUGCAUGUUUUGAAGAUGUCUGUGUGGCACUGGACGGUGUGAGUUCUCCAGAGCCUGCGGAGUGUCGGCCAUGCAUGUGUUGGGCUUUAUGAACGAAUCUAUGCACCAACUUGAGCUAUCCAAAAAGACUGCGAAAUAUACAUACAUUUGAGGGUUACCAGAAAGUUCUGAUGGACCUGUACUCAAGCAAGCUUGAAAUAGCUCCUGUGAUUCAGUGGCAUACACGCCUGUUAGACUCUCACUUCGCUUCCGCUCACACUGCCGCAGUGGCAUUGGUUGUGACCCGUAGAUGGUCGACCAGGGGAAAAAAACUAUAAAACUCAUGAUAUUUUUGUCUUCGACCAAGUGGUCAGUGUGGAGGAGUUUGAGGUUUUUUUUUUUUUUUUUUUAAUCCAUGUCUGCUGUCGGCCACAUACACACAACUGUUGCCCACACACCAGCGGCCUAUACUACAAAACUGGUUCAGGAUACGUUAAGGUUAAGUUGAGAGUGAAAUCAACUAAUAGAAGAGCCCAGAGUACUUAUUUUCUUUAGAAAGGCUCUUAGAUGAUGAGAUAAAGGUAUUAGAUGAUUUACCUAACUUAGUAAUAGGCCCCUGGUGAACUAUUCUGUACACAAACCAGCUGAACUAGUGUGCCGGCUCACUUGGUUGACUACGUGUAUUGGCUGCCUAAGUACACCUGCUGAACUUUUGUUGCACCCACAAACUUGGACUGUUGGCUGUGUGCACACACCUAUUAGGACUGUUGUACUUAAUGCCAGCUGAAGUAUUGUGUGUGCACACCUGAUCUUUUUCUUGUGUACUACACACCUGUGGGACUGUUUCGCCCACGCACGCUUGCGUGGCCAUUUGUGUUAACC